UACGUAGGGUGCGAGCGUUAAUCGGAAUUACUGGGCGUAAAGCGUGCGCAGGCGGCGCGUUAAGACAGGUGUGAAAGCCCCGAGCUUAACUUGGGAAUUGCGCUUGUGACUGGCGAGCUGGAGUGUGGCAGAGGGAGGUGGAAUUCCACGUGUAGCAGUGAAAUGCGUAGAGAUGCGGAGGAACACCGAUGGCGAAGGCAGCCCCCUGGGCUAGCACUGACGCUCAGGCACGAAAGCGUGGGGAGCAAACAGG
rnacentral:rRNA from 1 species